rnacentral:rRNA from 1 species
AUGAACGCUGGCGGCGUGCCUAAUACAUGCAAGUAGAACGCUGAAGGAAGGAGCUUGCUCUUUCCGGAUGAGUUGCGAACGGGUGAGUAACGCGUAGGUAACCUGCCUGGUAGCGGGGGAUAACUAUUGGAAACGAUAGCUAAUACCGCAUAACAGUAGAUGUUGCAUGAUAUCUACUUAAAAGGUGCAAUUGCACCACUACCAGAUGGACCUGCGUUGUAUUAGCUAGUUGGUGAGGUAACGGCUCACCAAGGCGACGAUACAUAGCCGACCUGAGAGGGUGAUCGGCCACACUGGGACUGAGACACGGCCCAGACUCCUACGGGAGGCAGCAGUAGGGAAUCUUCGGCAAUGGACGGAAGUCUGACCGAGCAACGCCGCGUGAGUGAAGAAGGGUGUCGGAUCGUAAAGCUCUGUUGUAAGAGAAGAACGAGUGUGAGAGUGGAAAGUUCACACUGUGACGGUAUCUUACCAGAAAGGGACGGCUAACUACGUG